AUCUCUAUCAAGACUAUGCGUGUACAUCCAUAAUAAUAACACACUUUUAAAGCUGCUUGUCGCUUUUAAAAAAAAUGUUAGCUAUUUCUUUCUGGUUAGGACUGAUUACUGCACUGUCAAGAAUGUUAUCAACAUCGAGUUGAUAAGUCCUGCCUACCGCCUACCCCUAGUCGCCGGAAGCACACCUUUGCAUCUCAAUUUACUUAAGCCUGAAACUGUAACAUACGCCCCCUACCCUAAUAAUUUCAGAGAGGCGUGGAAGAUUAAAAAACAAGCAGCAAGCGAGCAAAGUACCACCUGGAUCGUGUGGACCUGAUUGCCAUGCGACACGGCACCACGAGACACAAGUGGCUGUCAAAACUACACGCAAGAUAAAUGAACAAUCUAGUUGAUAUUAAGACUGUUUAAGCGAUUUAUUACAUGGUGAAUUGAAGAGGCUCCAUAGGAAAUAUAUAAUAUAGUAAAUAUUAACUUCUAUGGUGCUUCAACAGAGAGGGAUAUCAUAAAAAACACAUUUACGUGGAAGAAAUAUAUGGCAACACACUCAAACGAUCAACAUGGAAAGGAGAAAGGGUUUCAGAGUUUCUAGUUGAUUGAAUGUACUUAGACUAAACAGUCAGUGGCGUGUAACGAGCCCGCUUUUGUGUUUUCGCUUGUCAUGCUAUUUUAAGACUUUCUAGAUCUAUGAGAUGACCUGGACGAGGGAGGGGGGGAUUGAAAUGCUUUAUUGGCACCGUAUCAAUCAUGUCAUUAGGUUGUUCAAGCCAAUAGAAUUACUUACAGGUGUCUAUUUAUAUAUACAAUUUUCCGUGCUAGCCACGGCCCUGACAAUUUGCUGUAAGCUAGCAGGUAAUUUUUCGUUGUAGUCUUAAUGAUAGAUGCCAUACUUACCCUAACAACAUACACCACUCGAGUUUCGCUGCUAAUAGUUCUAUGCUGAGGCCAUUUGGGAGAUUUAUUACACUUUAAUCAAAUCUCCUGAAGAUAUUUUCCCUUGUAAGGAGAGGAUGUAACGUUCUUGUGGCUUAUUACAAAAUUCAAAACUUAAAAGGCUGUAAAUGAUAACAAAUUAGUGUUGUUCGAUUAAAAUCAUUACAAAAUGUAAUGUUUGAGAGGCGUGUUUUUCAACCGGAACUUUAGUGAUUUUUUUCAUUAGACUUUGCUUUACAUCUUGAAAAUCUCGAGUUGAAAAUUGCGGAAUACCUCUUCUUCCUCGGUGAACUAUUUUGAAAUGACAUGGCGAGCUCAUAUUUUUCUUUAAGAUUGGAAAUAUUUCUAGUUAUUUCAGAUAGAUAGGCAGAUUCUAAUAACGUAGUUGCCAAGAAAAAAUUAUACUUAUUUGUAACAUGAAAGAAUAAAACUUUCUCAAUCGUCAGGUAUACCUGCACACGUACAGUUAAA